AAUGAACGCUGGCGGCGUGCCUAACACAUGCAAGUCGUACGAGAAAUCUCCUGCUUGCAGGAGAGAGUAAAGUGGCGAACGGGUGAGUAACACGUGGGUAAUCUGCCUCCGAAUUCGGGAUAACGUUGCGAAAGCGAUGCUAAUACCGGAUAACAUCCUUGGGGCUUUGGCACCAGGGAUCAAAGGUGGCCUCUACAUGUAAGCUACUGUUUGGAGAUGAGCCCGCGGGCCAUUAGCUUGUUGGUGGGGUAAAAGCCUACCAAGGCUGCAAUGGCUAGCUGGUCUGAGAGGAUGAUCAGCCACACUGGAACUGAGAUACGGUCCAGACUCCUACGGGAGGCAGCAGUGAGGAAUCUUGCGCAAUGGGGGAAACCCUGACGCAUCAACGCCGCGUGAGUGAAGAAG
rnacentral:rRNA from 1 species